rnacentral:rRNA from 1 species
UACGGAGGGUGCAAGCGUUUAUCCGGAUUCACUGGGUUUAAAGGGUGCGUAGGUGGGUUGGUAAGUCAGUGGUGAAAUCUCCGUGCUUAACAUGGAAACUGCCAUUGAUACUACUGAUCUUGAAUUUUCAGGAGGUAAGCGGAAUAUGUCAUGUAGCGGUGAAAUGCUUAGAUAUGACAUAGAACACCAAUUGCGAAGGCAGCUUACUACAGGAAUAUUGACACUGAUGCACGAAAGCGUGGGGAUCAAACAGG